rnacentral:rRNA from 1 species
GACGAACGCUGGCGGCGUGCUUAACACAUGCAAGUCGAACGGAAAGGCCCUGCUUUUGUGGGGUGCUCGAGUGGCGAACGGGUGAGUAACACGUGAGUAACCUGCCCUUGACUUUGGGAUAACUUCAGGAAACUGGGGCUAAUACCGGACAGGAGCUCCUGCCGCAUGGUGGGGGUUGGAAAGUUUCGGCGGUUGGGGAUGGACUCGCGGCUUAUCAGCUUGUUGGUGGGGUAGUGGCUUACCAAGGCUUUGACGGGUAGCCGGCCUGAGAGGGUGACCGGCCACAUUGGGACUGAGAUACGGCCCAGACUCCUACGGGAGGCAGCAGUGGGGAAUAUUGCACAAUGGGCGGAAGCCUGAUGCAGCAACGCCGCGUGCGGGAUGACGGCCUUCGGGUUGUAAACCGCUUUCGCCUGUGACGAAGCGUGAGUGACGGUAAUGGGUAAAGAAGCACCGGCUAACUACGUGCCAGCAGCCGCGGUGAUACGUAGGGUGCGAGCGUUGUCCGGAUUUAUUGGGCGUAAAGGGCUCGUAGGUGGUUGAUCGCGUCGGAAGUGUAAUCUUGGGGCUUAACCCUGAGCGUGCUUUCGAUACGGGUUGACUUGAGGAAGGUAGGGGAGAAUGGAGUUCCUGGUGGAGCGGUGGAAUGCGCAGAUACCAGGAGGAACACCAGUGGCGAAGGCGGUUCUCUGGGCCUUUCCUGACGCUGAGGAGCGAAAGCGUGGGGAGCGAACAGGCUUAGAUACCCUGGUAGUCCACGCUGUAAACGGUGGGUACUAGGUGUGGGGUCCAUUCCACGGGUUCCGUGCCGUAGCUAACGCUUUAAGUACCCCGCCUGGGGAGUACGGCCGCAAGGCUAAAACUCAAAGGAAUUGACGGGGCCCCGCACAAGCGGCGGAGCAUGCGGAUUAAUUCGAUGCAACGCGUAGAACCUUACCUGGGUUUGACAUGGAUCGGGAGUGCUCAGAGAUGGGUGUGCCUCUUUUGGGGUCGGUUCACAGGUGGUGCAUGGCUGUCGUCAGCUCGUGUCGUGAGAUGUUGGGUUAAGUCCCGCAACGAGCGCAACCCUUGUUCACUGUUGCCAGCACGUUAUGGUGGGGACUCAGUGGAGACCGCCGGGGUCAACUCGGAGGAAGGUGGGGAUGACGUCAAGUCAUCAUGCCCCUUAUGUCCAGGGCUUCACGCAUGCUACAAUGGCUGGUACAGAGAGUGGCGAGCCUGUGAGGGUGAGCGAAUCUCGGAAAGCCGGUCUCAGUUCGGAUUGGGGUCUGCAACUCGACCUCAUGAAGUCGGAGUCGCUAGUAAUCGCAGAUCAGCAACGCUGCGGUGAAUACGUUCCCGGGGCU